rnacentral:lncRNA from 1 species
AAUUCAUCAAAAAGUUGCCACGCGGGAAGGAACAAAUUAUACAAUAUGGACGAAGACGUAGCAGCAAUCGUAAUUGACAAUGGCUCUGGUAUGUGCAAAGCUGGAUUUGCCGGAGAUGAUGCACCAAGAGCAGUGUUUCCAUCAAUUGUUGGACGUCCUCGUCAUCAGGUUGGUAUUUGAGACUUUUUAUUUUCAAAUCUGAAUACUUCCAUCCUCAAAUUCACAUUUAUAAGUAACUUACUUGCCACGAGUCAUUAAGUUGACUUGAUGUCACCAAAAGUAACUAAACACCCACCAGUUUAUCUGAUAAAGAAAAUAUUUUGAUUUUCAACUGUCAAACUAUGGAGCAUUGUUUUUCGUUGCCGUAAUGCGAGUUAUUCCCCUUUGUCGCCAUCUUUUAAAGAACAACGUGCUCGCUGUCUUUCAUGACACAAAUCAGUCAAAUUCAACUGGUUUUUAUAGUACACUGUAACAGAUUUAUAACGCUAGACUUACGAGAAACAUUUUUUAUUUGGUAUAGCCUAAUGCAGCAACCAUUUGAUUUUCUGGGGGGGGGGCUAUGGUUUUUUUUUCUGGACAAAUUAUUUUUUUCGCGACAAGUCGCAACAAUUUUUUUCUUUUCAAUUUUAGCAUUACAUAUAGUGGCAGCUGAGGGUGAAACAAACCCCCCCCCCCCCCCAGAAAAUCAAAUGGUUGCUGCCUAAGCCCUUGUAAUUACGAAUUAUUCUAGAUUAGAUUUGUUUGAGACUUGCCAAGCUGCUUGCACAAGUUGCAGCCUGUAGCAUGGCAUGUUUUUAUGUUGGAAAAAGUGGGGGGGGGGAGGGGGGUAUAGGGGACAGGAACAUUUGAAAAUAAUAUGUCUGGUAUUAAAAGAUAUGAAAAUUCCCAAAUAGAAUGUUUGUUUAAUUUCUGUAAGAUAAAGUCCAAGGAAUAAUUGUGUACAAGAUUGUUAAUAUAUAUAUCAUAUCUCUGUGUGUCAAAAGGAACUUGCGUUUUGCAAUUAUUGGCAUUGCUAUUAAUAUAACUUUUUAAAGACUUUGAUAUUCUUUGGGGGGGGGGGGGGGAGGUAGGUAACAUAAAUGUAAUCUAUAUGAACAUGAAUGACAUUCUUCGUCUGAAAUAUAUAAAGGCUAUGAGCUAUAAUUAGUAUAUUAAUGCCCUACAUAUGAUCAACAGUGCUUACAUAUUAUUUAUUAUCACAAAUCCAAAAAGACCUUACGAAGAAAAAACAUGGCGGAUAGUUUUGUGUGCUUCUUGCCUAUCUUGGUCCAAUUUAAAUUAAAUGCCGAUCAUCAGAAUAAUAUACAUCGUAAUACUAAUGAACUUUUAAUUAAUAAUCAUAGUGUAAUAGGAUAUUGAUUUAUUCACGCACUGCCUCGUCAAAUCAAUUAUUCAAUAAAUGACUGGUCAAUCUCCCCUGAAUGUGUUGUCUUGGUUAAUAAUUUGAUAGAUUGAGUGAUUGAUUGUUGAUUGCUUAACAUGAUGAAAAAUUUUGUCCUGCAUUUUUUUUUAGUUGUAAUCUCUGUCCUGCCUUUUUAUUUUUCACUCUAUUCGGUCCGGCCUUUUUUUUAUUAGUUUAUCCUGACUUUUUUUACCUAAAUUGUCAUCCUGCCUUUUUUUUUGCAAAGUGUCUCAUCCUGCCUUUUUUUUACUCAAAACUCCUGUCCUGCCUAUUUUUUUUUUUCAAAUUUCAUCCUAGCCCCCCCCCCCCUCCCCCCAUAAAAAUCAAAUGGUAGCUCCCUAAUGAGAGCACGUACUAGUUUUUACAGUAUUAAUAUCUGGUGGAAUCACGGUAGGUAUGGUUGUCCUGCGAGAGAACGUACUGUGCUGGUGAUUCGGUCCUGACGGUGCUGGUGAUCAAUGAAAAAAUGUAAACAAAGACGAAAAUGAUGAUUUUUUGACGUUUUCACUAAUAAAAAAUGGAAGAAAACAGUUGAGAUUUUUUAAUUUCGUUUCUUAUGGGUUCAUAUAUAAACCAUUAAAAAAAUUGACCCUCUAAACUGUUUCAGUAAGCGUAACACAAAAAUGCUCAUUUUCAGAAAAUCUCGAACUGAAAAAAUAAACAAAAAUGCUCAUAGAAGUCCGCUUUCUAUACCGCAAUCCACACGACAAAACAAUUUUGUGAAAAACAUUGCAAUUUCUUAAAAUUUAGCAUUUUCUCAAUUUAUGCAUGUCCUGAUACUGUGCUGGUGGUCCUGUCAUUGUGCUGGUGGUCCUGAUACGGUGCCGGUGAUUUUGGAUAAGAAGUUGGUCAUAUUUGAAACAAUGUUACAAAAUCAAUAAAAUUGGGCAGAUAAUUGUUGCCAACAGGAUCUAUGACUCCUAUUUUAGCUCUUGUGCAUCCAUUUGGCUGUUUAAUAUGUGUUUUCAAAUGACUUAACUUGUAUUACAUAAUAACAUAAAAGGGCAACAUCUUUCGUCCAAUAUCAGAUAACAAUAUAUACUAUCUAAAAUAAGUUAAAAAUUCACAAUACUAUAUAAUUCAUUUUAUGUGUCAAUUUGUUCGAAAAAAGUCGAAAAGAAGAGAGUUUAAGUUAAUGUCAUGAUUAUCUGUCGCUUUCUAGAUCUAUGCUUAGCAUUUAUUUCAGAUGACAUGGACUCUUCACCCUGAUGACCUGCUGCCUUUCAUAACUUCAUCCGUAUACAUAUAUUAAUAGAUAAACGAAAGGCUGCAAACUGGUAUUUUUGUAUUUAAAAUGAUUCGUUGUAACGAGAAUAUUUGUGUGAAUGGAAACUGUGAGGGUCAAAAUCUUAAAUUGCUUAUACAUGUUGCUGGACCUAGUUUCGUUAUCUGAUCCGAAUUUUCUGAAAUGUGCAAGGUAGAUAGACAUUUUGAUUUGUUUACUCGGUAAUGACCCUUGUGUUGAUCCCAUGGUAAACAUAACAAAAAUCUCUGUACAAAGGUCUGUGAAUUUUCUACAAAAAUAGUGAUUUUAUUUUCACUAAAUUCUCUUUUUCUACUAAAUACAAUAAUGAACUAUAAUAAAUAAUAAUGCUUGCAAGAAGUUUCCCCCUUGAUAUAUGCACAUUUCGUAAUUGACAUUGUCAUAAACCGUAACGAAAAGAUAAAAUAUUGAUAUAAGUACUUAAUUUGCAUCUUUGACCCCCCACCCGGCUUGUUUUUUAGGAGCCUGGGUGUCUAAAAAUGGUCGAUUACAGACAGCCGAGUACGCAUUUUUACUUUCCAGGCGUGUUUAUGUUUUUUAAAUAUAAAUUAAGGCUACAUUUUAAUAUAAUAAUUCUAUGAAUUCACAAUAUAAAAAAAUGCAGAAAAAAAAUGAAUGAAGUGAAAUAUCUUAGUAAGGAGUCAUAACUACAGAGAUGGUGUGUUUUGACACCACAAAACUUAAAAGCUUAGUGAUAUUACCAAUAUUAAAAAAAAUUUUAGUUGGGUAUUUUUUCCAUUUACUCAUUUUCAAUUAUAAUCAAGGCACAUUUGAUUUUUAUUCAUGAAAAUAUUUAAAUAUAGAAAAGUAGGACACAUUGUUUCACUUCCUCCCCCGUAAUUCUUAUCAAAAAUAUUUAUUUUGAAAUGAAAAAGCUAAGAAAUCUUAGGUUUUUUAGUGUUUUUCUAGGUUAUCUCGUCUUCAUUCUCUGACAUAUUCUAGCUUGCCCUUUCAUAAAAUAGUGAUUUUUUUAGUGUUUUAUCGAAUUUUCGAAAAACAAAUACAUGAUAACCGCUUAGACAAAAAAAAAUAUGUUGGAAAAAUCUUACAGCAAGUGAUUCUUAAUAGCUAUAGCCUCGGUCACACCUUACCGGAUAGCUCGAACGGACGCCUAACGGAUAAAAAAAAAGUUAUCCGUUGACAAAAUUUGUAUCUGUUGGGAGUCCGUUGGUGUACUAACGAACAUGUAACGAAUGCCAAACGGACACACAACGGACACUGAACGUACGUGAAACGGAUACGUACCGGACAGAAUGGACGUCGAACGUACAUCCAACGGACGAGUACCGGAUAAAACAGACACCGCUAUGGAAGCGUAACGGAUAAAACGGAUGAACAAAUAAUCUGAAAAUUAAAGGCAAUAAACCAUCUAAAAAUUAAAGGCAAUAAACCAUGAGAAAUUUCAAUUGGCAUUUGUCCAUUUUACAUCCGGUAGUCAUCCGUUUUAUCCGUUAUCCUUCCGUUAAUAUCCGUUUUACAUCCUUUGUUUAUCCGUUAGGCGUCGGUAGACAUCCGUUGGUGAAUGGGUCUACCGGAUCUCCAACGGAUGCAUAACGGAUACGUAACGGAUACAAAACGGACGAGUACCGUACAAAAACGGAUGCCUAACGGACGUUCAACGGACAUUUUAUCCGUUUGGACGUCCGUUCAAAGUUUGAACAUGCUCAAAAUUUUCCACCGGACAGAACGGACGUCAACGGAUAAAACGGACAUGCAACGGAUAUGGACGGACGCCUAACGGAUAAGAACGGACGUCCAACGGACAUGAACGGAUUGAGAAAAAUUUAUCCGUUAGGCGUCCGUUCGAGCUAUCCGGUAAGGUGUGACCAGGCUAAUAUAAGAUACAUUUUUCUUUUACAAUCCACCUUUAAAAUUUUACGGGAAACUAUUCCAAGCUUUCACAGUAACCUCGCUUUAACUUAUCCCCCUCCCUCCCACCCUCCCCCAAAAAAACACCAAACAACAAACCCGCAAUACUAUUGUCAUUCUAUAGUCAACACUCAAUUGUUCACAAACAAAUGUGUUUAAGCUGCUAAAGACAUGAUUCAAACGCUCAGAAAGUCCUUUGUUCUAUAUUUAUGCAAAACUUUCACAUUUUUAUUUUAUGGGUUAUUGUUGAAGGUCGUACGAUGACGUAUGGUUGUUAACACAUACUUCCUUUGGUUUCUUAUGGAAAUUUGUCCAUUGACAACAAACAUACCACAUCAUCUACAUUAUAUUAAGUAUUGUAUAAAUUACAACGUAUUUUGGUGAUCUUGCAAAAUGAUCGUAGUCCCGAAAAUCGUAAAUAUUUUCUUAUCUUAAAAGGGGCAAGAAGGGUUCCAUUACAGGCCAUAAAUAUAGAUUACAGUUAAUUAUUUUUUUUUUUUUUUAAUAGGGGUAUUUUUUCUUUCAUAUAAUAAACAGAUUCACAGCAAUGCCAAUUUCAAGAAAGCAGACCAUUAGUCAACAACAACAAAGCAUCACUGCUCUUGAAUAUAUGCCACUUUUAACUAAAAUAAAAAGCACAGAACCAGACAUAGGAGCACAGAAAAGGACCGUUUUUCUUAUCACCAGCACAGCGUCAGGACAAUUCCGUUUUAACGAACUUGCACGACUUUUGCAAUAUAAUAUUGUUGUAAUAUACUUUGCAUGGUACUUAUGACACAUCAGAGAAAAUUAGCAACAAAACAGUCGUUUUAUUGCCGUUCUGAUACAUGUAAACAAACCCACCACACAGAUCAGGACCCACCAGCACCGUCAGGACCAAAUCACCAGCAAGUACUUCCUCGGCAGGACAACCAUACCCACCGUGGGAAUGUGAAUAGAUUUAAUACGUUCUUUGCUCACCCUGUGUCGUAUGAAAGUAUUGUUGUCAUCCUCAGCCUAAGCUAUUGUUACGUAAAUUUGAAUUUCAAAAUGACCGAGUGACGUGUUUUUAUGCACUGGCCAACUCCACUACCAUAGCGAAUUACAUGAUUUUAACAAUCAAUAAAUACCUUUAUAAGUUAAGAAUUGUCGCAUACAAAUUAAAUACACUAGUCUAGAAAUGGCAAAGUUUACUACGGAAGCGUAUUAGGGACAUAGAAAAAAUAAAAUUGGCAGUGAACUUUUUUUCAAAGUCGAAAUUUGACUUUUCAAAUCUCGAAAAUUUUGACUUAACUUGAAAAUUUUGACUUUUCAAAUCGAAAUUUUUACAUAAACUUGAAAUUUUGACUUUCAAAAAUCGUGAAAUUUCGACUUUUUGAAAAAGUCGAAAUAUUGACUUUUUUGAAACUCGAAAUUUCGACUUACAAAAAGUCGAAAUUUUCACUUUAAACUCGAAAUUUCGACUUUUUUUAACUCAAAAUUUCGAUUUUUUUAAACUCAAUAUUUCGACUUUUUUAAACUCAAAAUUCGACUUUUAAAAACUCAAAAUUUCGACUUAUUUUAACUCGAAAUUUAACUUAUUAAAUUCAAAUUUCGACUUUUUUAAAACUCGAAGUUUUGACUUAUUUUAAACUCGAAAUUUUCAACUUAUUUAAACUUCAAAUUUCGACUUUUUUUUUAAACUCAAAAAUUUCGAUUUUUUUUUACAAUCGAAAUUUCGACUUUGAUCCCUUUUAAAACUUUGAUGUUAGUAUUCAAACACAGUUAUUACAAUUUUAGAAGGAAAAGACAUGGACGCAAAUUAUUAAAGCGUCAUCAACACAUUUUGGCAAUUUAUAUUUUGAAAUAGCUUUUGUUCCAUGUUUUAGUUCCCACGACACUGUAUAGAAUCGUCAUAUCUGAGAACAUAUAGCAUCGCAGUUUCAAAGGCCUGUUGGUUUCCCAAUGCAAUCACUGACUUUGCCUUGUUUAAACAAUGGUAAAUCAAGUAGCCAAAAAUGCCAUGCAUAUUCAGGACGACAAAAUGAGCUGCUCGGUUUUCUAGUUUUGGAAUUUUGAAAUGAAUAAAUUGUUCUUUUUUUGGGAAUAUUGAUUAAACUCUACAAGUUGACAUUCUUAGUUUAAACAUAUUUAUUUACAAGUUGACAUUCUUAUGACACAACUAUUAACCCUUGUCUUUAUAUAUCAGACUUGAAUAAAGUUCUCGUAUCAUGCGUGUAUCGGAAUAACGGUUGUCUGAUACAAUACUGAAGUCAGACUUGAAAUAUGCAUUUGAACGUAAACAUUUUAUUUAUUCUUCGGCAAGAAUAAGUUUUCUAUCUAAAAUAACCUCUUUUAAAUGUUUAGUUUAUUAAAUUGCUUAUAAGUUAUGAUGUAUAUGGCUUCCGCUGCUGAUAUAAAUGACUGUGAAUGUGGUAAUCGCACGUUAAAUACUAAGGAAAAUUCGAAUUUUGAGUUAAAACAAGUCGAAAUUUUGAGUUAAAAAGAAGUGACAAUUCGAGUUAGAAAAUAGAAUUCAGUUUUAAAAAAGUCGAAUUUUGAGUUAAGUCAAAAUUUCGACUUUUUAUAAAGGCAAAAUUCGAAUUUAAAGUCAAAAUUUCGACUCUUGAAAAGUCAAAAUUUCAAGAUAAGAAAAGUAAAAUUUCGAGUUUAAGUCGAAAUUUUAAGAUUUGAAUGUAAAAUUUCGACUUUGAAAAAAAAGCUGCACUGCAUUUUAUUUUUCUUGUCCCUAAUACGCUUCCGUAGUUUACGAAGUCUAACCUAAUUAAUCAUUUUACUAUCAAUCGCAUUCAAAAAAACUAAAAAAUGAAAAUUUCAGUUUAAAAACGUUAAAAAUUAAUAAGAAUGCGAAGUCAUAUGUUAUAGACUAUAUUUUACUAUAUCAUGUAUGUCCAGUGGCAUGUUCAUAUUUCUCCAAAAUGCUUUUUACCAUUAACGUGAAACUCUAUAAUAUUAUAGAGCAAACUAAUGGGGUGGGGGGCUCACAAGUUUUCUUUGUAAUAAUGCUUAAUUCCUAUGGUGCAAACUUUAAUGCAAUUUUUACUGGCUGUAAAUAUCACUUGUCAGAACAUCAACAGGCCAAUUAUCCAUAUAUAGUCAUAAUGACAUAUAUGUAUGCAGGUAGGUCGAAGAUGUUCAAUCAGGGGUGAAAAACAAUAUGCAACAACUAUUUUUAAAGUUCAUCGUAACAAUUAUCUCUGGCUGUUAGUUUAAUAAUAAAAAUAAGACGUUGCGUAUUUGUGUGUAUAUUUCACAUAUCUGACAUUUAAUAAGAAAAACGUACGAUUAUGGUUUAGGAAUACAUUUAAAUUUAAAUUAAUGAGUCUCCUCAUGGAGUUUUUGAUUAUGAAAUUACUUGGCCAUUUUUAUAGUGAUUGUUUGAUUUAUCUCUUGGUUUAUAAGAAAAUAAAUAAUGAUUCUGUGAUUAUAAUGGCAAAAAAUGUGAUUAUGUCAUUACUUGGACAUCCCCAUGAUAGGGCAUUUAUAACCUGUCAAAUUCAUGACCACCGACAAGACCUAAAUUUUCAUAUUUUCUUUAUAACAUACUAUGGCGAAUAUCCAAAAUUACAAAAAAAUGUCCAACAGAAACAAUUAAAAAUACAUGUGCUCGCUAAAAUGUACCAGCAUUUCGUGCGUAUUUUUAGACCAGACGCUCUCAGACGCCACCUUAUUAUCCAUCGUUUUUACCUCCGAAGACUUCCGACGGUAUUAUAACCCGAUAUAAAUAUCAAUGAAAAUAGAUAGCGAGCACGUGCAAUCGGAUUUUCUAGGUAUGUGUGAUGUCAAUGUAUCAUGUUAUAUUUAAAAAUUAUGUGUAAAUCAUCGUGUAAUAGUUAUUUUUUUCAAGAUGUCCUCGAAUAGGAAAACAAAACUAUUUUUUACAACCAAAUGUCAAAGGACUAGAAUCUUCCUUCUGUUUAAGUGGUAUAAAAAUUGGAAUGUUUUGCCAAAUUAUUUUAAAAAAAAUGAGCGUCUUAGGCGUCUAGACUCAAAUCUUAGCAUGAAAGCUGGUAUCAAUCGGAUGAGUAAUGUCCUUUUCAAAUGAUUUCUGUAGUUUCAAUUGUUUUUGUGUUGUUACACAAGUCAACUGUCCCAGGUUAUACUUAUAGUGCCUAGUGGGUAUUGGGUUUUGCUCUUUGAAGUCAGUACAGUGAUAUACUUUACAGUUGCUUUUUUUUUACGUCAUCAUGCGAAGAGCUGACUCGUCAAUAUAUUCACAUCUAAUUGUUAUAUAUUUAUUAACGAAAUGCACAUUAAGGUGAUAUCUUACAUUUUUAUAAGUUUCUCUAUAUUUUUUUCAGGGAGUAAUGGUUGGAAUGGGCCAGAAAGAUUGCUAUGUAGGAGAUGAAGCACAAAGUAAAAGGGGCAUCCUCACUUUGAAAUAUCCAAUUGAACAUGGUAUCGUCACAAACUGGGAUGAUAUGCAGAAGAUCUGGCAUCACACAUACUACAACGAACUUAGAGUUGCCCCGGAGGAACACCCAACAUUACUCACAGAGGCUCCGCUCAAUCCAAAAGCCAACAGAGAAAAGAUGACACAAAUUAUGUUUGAAACUUUCAACACGCCUGCCACAUAUGUAGCCAUACAAGCUGUACUGUCAUUAUACGCGUCUGGUAGAACCACAGGGAUGGUGCUAGACUCGGGUGAUGGUGUCACACAUACGGUUCCCAUCUAUGAAGGUUAUGCACUUCCUCAUGCUAUUCUCCGUCUAGAUUUAGCUGGGCGAGACUUGACCGAUUAUCUGGUGAAGAUCUUAACAGAGAGGGGAUAUUCGUUCACAACUACCGCUGAAAGAGAAAUUGUAAGAGAUAUAAAGGAAAAGCUUUGUUAUGUGGCUUUAGAUUUCGAACAAGAAAUGUCCACCGCGGCGUCUUCAUCGUCGCUAGAAAAGAGCUACGAACUGCCAGAUGGACAAGUUAUUACAAUUGGAAAUGAAAGAUUCAGAUGCCCAGAGGCUGUGCUUCAGCCAUCCUUUUUGGGUAUGGAGUCUGUCGGAAUUCAUGAAACUACGUACAACUCUAUAAUGAAAUGUGAUGUGGAUAUUCGAAAAGAUCUGUAUGCCAACACUGUCCUGUCAGGAGGGUCCACGAUGUAUCCCGGUAUUGCCGACAGAAUGCAGAAAGAAAUCACCUCUUUGGCACCAAGCACCAUGAAAAUUAAAAUCAUUGCACCUCCUGAGAGAAAGUAUUCCGUAUGGAUAGGAGGAUCAAUUUUAGCCUCGCUCUCGACUUUCCAGCAGAUGUGGAUUAGCAAACAAGAGUACGACGAGGCAGGACCAAGUGUCGUGCAUAGAAAAUGUUUCUAGACCGAUAUUUUAAGGGACAGAAAUAGCUUUGCGCAUGACCGAUAUUAUGUAACAGAAGAAUUUUAAAAUAGAUAAAGAAAUGUAAUAUAUAUCAUCAAACUGUAAAACAUUAGAAUGAAUUAUAUAACAAAUUGUAUUGAUGUGUGACAUUGUGUUAUUGUUUUAAUU